rnacentral:rRNA from 1 species
UACGUAGGGGGCAAGCGUUGUCCGGAUUUAUUGGGCGUAAAGCGCUCGCAGGUGGUUCGUUGCGUCGUGCGUGAAAGACCCCGGCUCAACUGGGGAGUGUCGUGCGAUACGGGCGGACUGGAGGCCAGUAGGGGGAUGCGGAAUUCCGGGUGGUAGUGGUGGAAUGCGUAGAGAUCCGGAGGAACACCAGCGGCGAAGGCGGCAUCCUGGACUGGUCCUGACACUCAGGAGCGAAAGCGUGGGGAGCGAGCCGG